ACUCCUACGGGAGGCAGCAGUGGGGAAUUUUGCGCAAUGGGGGAAACCCUGACGCAGCAACGCCGCGUGAGUGAUGAAGGCCUUCGGGUUGUAAAGCUCUGUCAGAGGGAAAGAAAUGUGAGAGGGUUAAUACCCCUUUUACUUGACGGUACCCUCAAAGGAAGCACCGGCUAACUCCGUGCCAGCAGCCGCGGUAAU
rnacentral:rRNA from 1 species